AUGGAUCAGACGUUUGAAAACCUUGAAGACAGGACAAAUCUCCUGUUCUGUUGGUUGCUCAUCCUGAAAGUGGGAGGGAGAUGGAUCUCCUGUCUUCCCACAGAAGACAUUUGUGCUUGGAGAACAGGGAAUUAAAGAUCAACAGUGAAAAUAUUUGACGCUUCAGGUGGAGUUACAUAUCUCAACAAAGGAUGUAACAUUUCUCUGCUGACAUGCAAAGCAAAAGAAGGUAUAUUUUUUUUCCUAGAAUAUAUUUGGAAUGAUAUCCUCUGGUACUAUCUACUGACCAGUCGUUAGAAAGGAUUGUUAAGUCUGUUACCAUGUUUGUUGUUUUUCCAUAGCUGAUUUGGUGCUGGCUGAGAUGGUGCA
rnacentral:lncRNA from 1 species